GAUUUUUAUUUAAAUUAUAAAUUCAUGUGUUACUAAAUGCACUGUUAACUAUAAACAAGCCAAAGCCGCUGAACUUUAUGCACUUUGCUGAAAUUUUACUAUCAAUGUCAUUUCCGCGUUGAGCACGUUUUUCACACUAAGCUGGCAUAAAAAAGAGGCGACUACGCUUUCUGUGACGUAUGUGUGUAUGUGGCGCCAUGGAUACGGACAAAGCGCAAGUGAAAUAUAGAGGGAGAGAAAGAGUAAGAGUGAGCACAAAGCGAACAGUAGAGCUGUUGAAAGGAAAAGCUAGCUCGUGCUUUCGGCGGUUUUGGAAGAGUUUUUCAACUCGUCAAUGCGCUACAAAGCUUUGGUUGAGCUGAUGCUCUUGAGAACGGAACUUUUACAUAUAUUUUUCAUUUCAGGUUUAUUUUAGGCCUUAUUAUAUGUAAAUUACACAAAGUUCGGUUAUUUGAAGCUUUUGUAAAUACUGUCAACAUACAUAUAUUGGGAUAACUUGUGGACUCGUUUAUGUAAAAAACGUAUGGUGUGUUUAUUUGUGCUAAUAUUUUACUCUGUUAGUUAACACCAAUCUCUAGCUUACAGCAAAUCUAAAUGCUGAGCCAGUGUAGCGCACGUCGACAUAUUCGCUUGCUGGGAGCGGGGCAAUAAACUUUUGUGUGGGCGCAUUUAAGAGAAGUCGGUAUUCGCGAACUUGAAAGCAUAUUUAAUAAGAGUUUAGCUU